rnacentral:rRNA from 1 species
CACGAAGUUAGCCGGGGCUUAUUUUCCGACUACAGUCAUUAUAAUCAUCGGCUAAAGAGCUUUACAACCCGAAGGCCUUCAUCACUCACGCGGCAUGGCUGGAUCAGGCUUGCGCCCAUUGUCCAAUAUUCCUAACUGCUGCCUCCCGUAGGAGUCUGGGCCGUGUCUCAGUCCCAGUGUGGCUGAUCGUCCUCUCAGACCAGCUAUAGAUCGUCGCCUUGGUGAGCUCUUACCUCACCAACUAGCUAAUCUAGUGCGGGCUAAUCUUUUGGCGAUAAAUCUUUACCCCGGAGGGACCAUACGGUAUUAGCUUUCGUUUCCAAAAGUUGUUCCGUACCAAAAGGCAUAUUCCCACAUGUUACUCACCCGUGCGCCACUCUGUAUUGCUACAGCGUUCGACUUGCAUGUUUUAGGCCUGCCGCCAGCGUUCAUUCUGAGCCAGGAUCAAACUCU